CUCGUGGUGUAAAGAGGUACUUUAAACACUGAAAUACGAAGCUUCUAAGACCGCAGAGAAGUACAAAAUCAAACUAAAAGACAAGAUUUAGGUAUGUUCUAUCUAUUUUAUGUGAUUUGUUCAUAUUACGGCCGGUAAAAGUGUUUGAAACUACUUUUGAAAGUUGAGCUACCGUAAGUCGCUUGCUUCGCCUUUGCUUUGGGCCGAAGCGUGCUGUCGCGAUCGAUUUGUACUGGCAUAAAGACACAGAAUUAAGCCUUGCUUUAUGUUGUCCUCGCUUUAAAUUAGUAGAGAAAUGUUUCGAUAAAGUAUUUAGGGUGUUCUGUAGCUAAUUUUGUUUUAAAUUUUCUCGUUUUAGUGGAAAGAUCGAAUGUUGAAUCAGUUUCAACCCGUCACGGCUCAAUGGCCAAGUCAAGAAAAACGGCUUCCUUGCCUGAAUUUUCAAAGCGAAAUUAAACAAGAAAUGUUGUCG